AGCAGCCGCGGUAAUUCCAGCUCCAAUAGCGUAUAUUAAAGUUGUUGCAGUUAAAAAGCUCGUAGUUGAAUUUCGGGAUCAGUUGGUCGGUCGUGCCUCGGUACGUACUGGUCAAAUUGAUACCUACCUUCUGACGAACCACGAUGUCAUUAAUUUGGUGUCGUGGGAAAUCAGGACUGUUACUUUGAAAAAAUUAGAGUGUUUAAAGCAGGCUCGCGCUUGAAUACAUUAGCAUGGAAUAAUGAAAUAGGACGUUUGAUUCUAUUUUGUUGGUUUCUAGGAUCGACGUAAUGAUUAAUAGGGAUAGUUGGGGGCAUUAGUAUUCAAUUGUCAGAGGUGAAAUUCUUGGAUUUAUUGAAGACUAACUACUGCGAAAGCAUUUGCCAAGGAUGUUUUCAUUAAUCAAGAACGAAAGUUAGGGGAUCGAAGACAAUCAGAUACCGUCGUAGUCUUAACCAUAAACUAUGCCGACUAGGGAUCGGAUGAUGUUAAUUUUUUAAUGACUCAUUCGGCGCCUUAC
rnacentral:rRNA from 1 species